GACGCUACCUCAUAUAAGGUGGUUUGGAAACGCGUCAUUUCAGGUGUUUCUACUAAUUUCAGAUACUGUGGCCCUACAAACAGUAUCUCAUUGAGUUAACUGCAUUUAUAUUUAUUUGUAACUGAACUUAAUUUUGUCUCUGAUUAUAUGAGGAUUGUUUCAGAGGACGAUUCCCCGUGUAUAACAUUCAUUGUCUAUAAAUGUGAAACUUAUUUACUUGUGAUUUAUUAUAUUUCUAAAUGUGCAUUUCAAUUAUAUGUAUUUGAGAAUUCUUCUAUUAUUUUUUCAGCUAAUCUUAUAUUUUUUUCCAGCAUCCAUUUGUUAUAGAUUUGGUCAGCCGACAAAUUCAAACAGCACGAAAGUUGCGGGACCGUAUCGUGAUCGGUUCGUUUAUUGAUUAUCAUCGCGUUAACUGCGGUCGGUAUGCGCUACCCCUAGUCGGUCGAGGGUGUUAUUUAACUCUUGGUAGUUUCAGGAACUGCCUCGGUCGUGUGGUGAGAGGGCGUGAGCUUGCAAGACUUCAGUUGGGAAGAAGCUCUCGUUUGACCGAUUUUCUUCGAUCGACUGGAGGUCUGACAGGAAACGUGUCGACGAGAUGGGCAACGCACGCGUUCGAUAUUAAAGACACCAUCGGGGGAGUUUCAUAAACGUCGCGGGUAUUAAAAAAUCCCCUCAUUGUUUAGCCCGCUGCAGGUACUUGACGAAGAAGAAGAGGCUUAUUACGUGGCUGAGCUUUCUCUGGAAACACAGCAGGAAGAGAAAAGUGGAGUGUCUCAAGUGUUCCCAAGUUUCUUACGGUUUUCCUCAAAGUUCACCAACGAAAUCCUUCUUCAGGGUUCCUUGGGGUCCUCUCGGAAGUUCUUACGGCUAGACGUACGGAUCUACCACACGAACGUACAAUAUGUAUACGUAAAUUACAUACAUAUGCGUGUAUAUAUAGUGUACGACUGUACCCCGUGUAAGGCGUAUUAUACAAGCUCGUACCGAGAACAAUGGUUAUCCACGGACAAAGGUCUGUAGAAAAAUGAAAGAGACCCCUGUAGACGGGGGCAAGAUGAAAUCGCCGAGACUCCGAACAUAACCAGCUGAAACGAUGGAAAGCGACCUGGGGCCGGUCCGCCCGGUUCUCGUCAAGUCACCCCCGAAAUCCGUACAAUCUAGAAAUAUUAGAAUGAGAAAAAUGGAACGUCUCGUUAUUCGGAGCUUGCAGGGUAUAUGGGUGUAUGCGUGCACGCGUACCUGAGCAUAAAGUGCGUUAAUUUCGGGGGGACAAAAAAUAAUCACCGCGGCCGAAACGAGGGGUGUGAAAUCGAGAAAUAUAUUAAAAAGAAAGACGAGCAAAAUAUUACACCCCACCGCUACAAGGGCCGCAUUAGCGAAAUAAAUUAGGAUUGUUUUUUCCCCCAAAAUAUGUAUAUUAUACGCGACACAAAUAUGUGCACGGUUCUAACUGAACUUGUGUUCGAACAAAACUUACAACGCAAAUGAAAUGAAAAAACGAAAGGUAAUUUUUUCAUCAACCAAAGUUUUUAAAGAAAAUUUUUAACGACACAAUAAAUACGUGGAAACUAAUGAAGAAAACCAGAAAAAGAGCAGUCGUCGACCCGAUAACGAAACGAUUCAAUCAAAUCAAUCAAAUGAAAUCAUUUCUUUGGGUGAAACCUUUGAAAAUUCCGAUGUAAAACCGUACCCUGUAACUUUAUCACUAUGAAUAUUUUCAGGAAUAGAGAUCGCCAGCUGUCAUUAUUGUUAUUAGUUUUAUUAGGCUCUUUAUCUGAAAUCUUCUUUUUCUUCAUCCACUUCUUCGAUAGCAUCUCACGUUCGCGGCGGAAUGUUGGUUGUAUUUUUGCCGUUAUACUGGCAAUUUGCGUUCGCAGCUAUCUUCGUAGACAUCUGGGCAUUAAUUAAUCCGGCGAAUACACGCGACGCGGCAGGGUUAAAGCUGCGAACGCGGGGAUGGAAUAUCGUCUAACUAGCUAUACUCGCGUCGAGUCCCAGGUCGACGAUACUCGCGUAUGAUGAAAUAAUUCCUGCCAAUUCCGCGCACUCGAUAAAAUGAACGAGUCUCCUUUCCAACCCGAGAGUCAUCCCUCCUCAUUCUCCACUUCCUCAUUUCCUUCGCCUGUGCGUACACCAAAGUAGCAACAGCUUUGAACAACGUAUCGUCGACCGCUGCAACGUGUAGAAGGACGAGAGAAAAAGAAAAAAAAAAAACAAGACGAAAAAAUUAUCCGUAAAAGAUAAUUUUUUUAUGAGAAUUCCUCGGAUCGUACAAGAUGAGCAUGGUUAGUUGAAAAGAAAUUUUCAUAAUUUCAACAAAGGAAUGCCGCGCCGUACGAUAUAUUUAUUAUAUUACUGAAGGGUUUUCAAAGGGGCCGUUUGUACAGAGGUAAUAAAUUAUUUCGCGAAUCUAAUUUUCCCAGGAUUGAGCGAAACAGAAAAAAGAUUAAUCAGGUGCAGGUCUACCCUGUUUCCUUUUUUCAUUAUCCUCUUGUUUCAUCAAGAGACGAAGGAGAACAAAUAAAACGAAGAAAAAAAUUGUCAAUUUCUGUCACUAUUAUGCCGCGGAAAGCUGAGUCCCGCAAUGUUACCCCUGGGCUGCGACUCGGAUUGAGAGUGAUUGUGAGUAAAACUUAGGAAGAGUUUUGUUCGAAGCUUUUGCUACUCGCGCUCUAAGGGCGGCGACUACGUCGAGCUCGAGAAAGUGCUUUCUGGAAGCGCUCUCAUUAGGAACAUCCUCCACGACCAUCCAUCCCUUCCACGCUUCCAUACCGUCUUCGCAUUCGCUUUCGUGCUACUCCUGGCGCACAGGCUCUCUUAUUGUUUACCGUUCUUUGUCCUCUAUAUACUUGUAUAGAUAUAUACAUAGGUAUGUGGAUAGGGUACCACCUGAAAGAUGAAAGAAGAGGCCUCGCAAGGUCUCAAGAAUUAGUUUUCAAUUUCUGCGUCUCCCUUUGUGUUGCUCUCUUUCGAUUCUGUUACGUUUCUCUUCAUCUUUCUCGCUCCGUUCUCCUGUUUAUCCCUCAUACACACAACCCAUACCUAUCCGCAGCCUCUUCUAUACGGACGCUGUAGCCCCAUCCGAGAGAAUAUUUCGGCUGAAAUUAAAUUUUCAAUCUGCUGACGAACGUUUUAUAUUUUAUUCUCUUAUGUAUUGUAGGAAAUAUGACGAAUGCGAAAACAUUACUUGCAAUGUAUAACUGUGGGGAUACUGUUAAUCAAAAAAUGUGCAACGAUGCAUCGCCGAACAAUAUUUAAAAUACAAUUCCUAUCCCAGGGUGAAACGUGAACCACACGGAGCUGAGUAGUGGAGCGGUCCGUAAUGGUUCUUUGAGCUCAUUAAUAAAAAUGGAAAAAAAGAUGGGUUCGUACUACCGCGUUUUGCUGGAGCUUAUUAGCUGUUGAUGACGGUGAUGUUCGAGAAGGGAGGCUGCUGCAGUGCAGGCUAGGGCUCUUCAACCCGCACGUGCAUAUUUUAAGAAGUCAUCAUCGGAGCGCGGUAUGGUAGUAAUAUAUUAGCCGACGCGGGACGAAUGCGCAACGAAAGAGGAAGAGUCGAAGGCGACGGAGAUGACGAGGGAGAAGAAUAAAAGAAGUAUGAACUUGAGAACGAAGCAAAGGUGUCGUCUGUGUAUUGAGAAGAAGCAGAAGAAUGAAAAAGAAGAUACGCGAUGGCGUGGAAAAGGGGUGGGAAACGUUGAAUGAGGGGGUGUUGAAAGGGGGUGGUGAGGUAGAGACGUGAAGAGGUGGAUGAAAAGUGAAGUGCCACCCGCGGAAUACGGGUUAAGUGUCCUUGAGGAAAAAAGAUAAGAAAAAAAAUGAGCUACAUCGCGGCGGACACGAACGGAAAUACCGAGACUCGCUCAAAUGUCUUUUUACCCCAUGCUUAUAACUCCGUAGACGUUGCGAUUAAACAUUUAACGCUGUCCAAGUUUGAAAACUUUCGCCGAGAAAUGCUCCCCGCGCGAUUCUUCUCCUUUUUUUUCCAACCCCCCCGCUAUUCGCUCUGCGAUAUUUCAAACACUUUAGGAAACAAAUUAUACAUAUACGUUGCGGACCCCCACGGGGGUCGCGUCCGCUCUUAUCUUCCGCAGGUUGGCGGACAGGCAUCCCUUCGAAGUGACGAGCUUUUUCUUCUCCUUCUCCUCCUCCUUCUACUUCUUCUUCUUCUUCUUCUUGAUAUCUCGUUUUUCUUUUAUCUUAUUUUUCUCGCUGAUUUCCGCAGCUAUUCCGCGCCGCUCUAAUUUGUUACGGCACUUGCAGGGCUUUCGGAAAAGUUUAUCGUACCCCGGCGACCCUUUAUACUUUUUCCUUAUAAAUAUAUCUACAAUAAGAUACAUCUAAUUUAUUCUUUAAUUUCGGAGAAUUAAAAUUCGAAGUAACGCGAAUAAGGUAUACCUGCGGGGAAUCGGAAAUAAAAAUUUGUCAAACUGUAACGAGAAACUCCGAAGAUCAUGCCUGGAAAUUUGAGGUGAAUAAGCGCGGUGGGUAUCUAGCUUGUAAAUCAAUGGAAUUAUAUAAAACCGAAGCGAAUAACUGUUAUCGAAUCAUCGUUUUCCCGCUAACAGCGCAGCGAUUAUUCCUCAUUUAGUUCUUGGCAAUAUAUCAGGAUCCGAAGAAAUCAAGCAAGCAAGCAAGCAAGUUAUAGCUGGGGGAUCGGAAAAGCUCCGGCCAACUGUUACAAGGUAUACGCGCGUCAGUCAGUCACGUACACUAACGUCUCGUGAAGCUGGUUGCAAUAUCGCUCGAUUUUUUAUUUCCUAACAUUUUAUCCCCAUUCGUUACCUUCUCUCUUUUCUUCCGACGUUUUUUUUCCUGAAUUUUUAUUUUUUCCCUCUAUUUAUUUUUUAAUCUUCCCAACAUUUUUCUCGUAUUGUUCUACGCUACAUCUUGUCGUUCCUCGUUGUUUUCUUUUUUCUCAUUUUAGUUAUCGUCUUUUGCUGCCCCCACGUCCUCAUCGUAGAUUUUUAUUUUUAGUAGAAGGAUAAAAUUCUACUCGUACUUAUUGAGCCAAUGCAAUUGCCCGAUAAAAUUGGCCAAUUUAGCUCUUCGACAGCUGCGCCACGGCCUUCAACGUCUUUGCGCCUUUCUAAAUCUUUCACGGAGUGAAGAACGUGGCUCGUAUUUUUUUUUUUGUUUCAUCUCUGUACGCGCGUUCGUUCAAACGUUAAAAAUCUACGUAAAGACGUUGUUAAUAUUACUCGAACAGCUGACUGCAGGUCGUUCGAAUACUUGAGAAAUUAAUACAUUUACGUUCUCCGAUCCUGAUGGUGCAUAAAUAUCGGAAUCACUCUGCAGGCGCGUAUAUCGACCUCGUGGGAAUUAGAUUUUCAAUAUACAUAAUAAUGAGUGGGACUUCUAUACGACGGGAGUUUACAUGACAUACAUUCGAUUUUUUUUUCUUUCUCGCUCUUCUUUCUUUCUUCUAACUAACAAUUCAGCUCGUGUCAAGUCAUAAGCUUGCAAAUUAAAGAGGAAAGCUGUUCGCCUCUUUUUAUGGGUAUGUAAUAUACCUUUUUCAUUUCCUCCAAAGACUCGCCUGGGGUAUUUCUAGUUAUUAAUUAAUUCAUUCGAAUUUGGUGUCGCGAACAGACAUCGCGGAAGGCGUCCCUGAUGCACGUCCCUCGGCUGCUGAAAUUUGAAUUCAUCGCUAUAGCUGCUGGUAUAGAAUUUAAUUAUGUAACCGAUAAUAAAUCUAACGGUAAUGAAAAGCUUCAGGUGACGAGAAACGGUCAUUUCUACGUGAUGAUCAAAUAAUACUAGUACUUGAGAAUCAGAGGAAUUGCUAGUUGUUUAAAUUCAUAAAUUCACGGACACGAAUUUAUUACAUACAUAAUAAGAGUGGUGCUCGCUCAUCUCUGCGAACUGACCCACGGGUAGGCAAUGAAUUUUUCUCGACGGAGAUAAUGGAAGCAAUAAACGCUUUGACGCUUGUUUGCCAUUAAAUAAAAAUACAUAUUCAUGGCUUAUUAUACGAAUGGAAAAGAGUAAAAAAUAAAACCAAAUUGAAGUCUGGAAAGCUGCAUGUCGUCCUGUCGCGUAUUUGCAACACGUACCAACUGCUAUCGUCGAACCUGUACGAUUGCAAAAAAAAAAAGAAUUUGAAACGAAAGAAAAAAGAGAGGGUGUAAGAAAAAAAAAUGACUUCAAUUCCUCUUCGUUUUUUGGGACUUUUUUAUCCAGCGUUCGAUAUAUUUAUAUGCUCAUAUAUGCAUACUCUGACCAUGAGUACAUACACCGUAAUUACAUAUGUACAUACGUACAUAUACGAUUCAGGUAUAUAUCGAAAGCGACAUGAGAAUCUGCACUCGAUACACUACUCCAAGUACAUACCAUACCAUAUACUCGUUUGGUGAGUUCGACAGAGCGCGUCUGUUUUCGCACAUCGAGGCUAAACGGAGCAGCAAUAAGGAUGUGUAAAAAAGGUAAAAGGAAAAAAAUGAGGCAAAUAAAAAGCAGCGGAAAAGGAAAUCGAGGGGGAAGGUGGUAGGAACGAGGUGAGGAAGGGAAUUCGUGGGUAUAUACAAGGCGGAAGAUAAAGGGGGAGUGGAAAGCCAUCGGUCCAAGAGGGAUGCGACUGACAGUCAAUUGUUAUCUCGAGGUACGUUCGGCCGCCAUUGAUCAUCUGAAAAGGGGAAGAUAUAUACCCUUGGGACUCCGACGAGCAAGACGACGAAGAGAAACACUCCAAAAAUAUAGGCAAAGUCUCCCUCAGGAUAAAUUGCGAUCGAAUUAAAUUUAACAGGAGGAAAAAAACAGUCGGAUAGUUGGAUAACUGGCGAGGGUGGAUAUAAAAGUUUUAACAGAAAUUUCUCGUAUCGUGUAACAAACUACCCAUUUUCUACGUAUUCGCAUACUCGCUCGAUGUACUAAAUCUCGUUGCUGGAAAAAAUUCGAACGAACGAAUUCAGGGGUAUAAAGAUUCCUCUCACAAUUUCUCAAAUUUCUCCGUUAAUUCAAUGAUUUUCAAAUUCUAUUAUAAGAUAUGGUUUAAAAAAAAAUUAUACGUGUGUUAUAUCCGAGCGGCACGAAGAAAAGAAUAAAAAUUCCCUCCAGUCACGUCGCUUUCCGGUGUGGUGCGCGUGUAUAAAAUCUACAAAGAAAUUUGCCGCGACUGAAGCGAGAAAAGAAAAAAGAGGAGAAGAGUAUGAAAAAUUUGCCGCUCAUUCCGAUCCUCCCCGCGUUUUCUGUAUCAGCUGGGAACCGACACCCCUUGGAUCGCUCCGAAGCACGCAGUGUUAGCCUGCCUGGCUGGCUCUCUGCGACGAUCACGUCCAGUUAAAACAAUUAUAUUGAAUUUCCAAGAAGAGCGGGAGCCUGUAGGGAGAUUAUUACGCGGAUUACGUAAAUUAAAUCGUCAGACUAAAAAGAUGGGGAAAUGUUUCGCUUAGAAGUCCAGGCACGUUCAACCGACCCUCGAGCUCUUCGGCCGCAGUGCGAAACGAACGCCAACGGACAUAGGCCGACAAACAGAUUGACGGAUGGAUGGACCCGCUCGUCAAACAAAGAAGAUUCCUCUUGUUGUCCGCGCUAUUUUAUUUUAUUUUAUUCAUUUACUUAUCACCGUUCGUUCGCUUCUUUUUUAUAUUGGCAAUGUUCGGAAGACGUGUGCAGGCAUUGAAUCAACUAAAAUAGAAGGAAUAUACACGUACGACGCGAUGGAAAAAAAAGAAACACUUUCAGAAGUGUUCUUCAGUUUCGUGUUUUCCGCGUGUUCCAAUCGUCGCUCCGAGACUUCGAACGGGCGGCCAGAAAUGAGAACAUUUUAAAAACAGAGCACGUAGCGUCUGUUUAUUCAAAUUUUCUCAAACACAUACAUAAAAUUUUUCUCUUCGCAGGGCGAUUUGAAACCAUAUUUCAUCUAUACCAACUUCCGAGUUGCGCGAUACCCCUCACCUAUAUUCUUCAUACAAUGCUUAUUCGAAAAACUUUUAUAGCGCGUUGAGACACCAUCGUAAUUUGACGCGAAACGUAAGUUAGUGUUGUUGAGAAAAAUUCAGUAUCACAUGCGGAGCUUCACUUUCAUACAUAUCUUUCGAUUCAGAGUAUACUAUAAAUGUAGGUAAAGAAAACUCAAUCACAAAAGAGUGGAAAAAAAACCAGGAGUGUUUCAAUUCAAGCCAGGAAUAGCAAAAGAGCUAGCUCAUUCCGAAUGAUUUAUAGCAUCUAUUUCAACACGCUGUCACCAAAAAACUAUCAUAAGCAGGCGGUUAUUCAAUUUGAAACCCCACCUGCGGUAGGUAUAUGAUAAAAAAAUAAACUUCUGGAUAUUUUGCCUUGUUUCUUUCGAGUUUUUACUUUUAUCGAGCUUCCGCGGUUCGCUAAGAUAGGUCGGGUUUCACGUCCCAGGUGGGCAACCCAUCCGCAGAAAGUUUUACGCCACUCAUUCGCGCCAGUCUUCAAAACUCGGCCGAAAAGUUUAACGGUUUAAACCUUGGAGCAAAGUUAAUCAGGGUUAAUGAUACCCGAGGCACCACGGGGCACUUUGGCGACAUCGUCUUGCUAAAAACCCCCUCCCGUAACGACGUUAACGUCUCAAGACGUUUAUACUUACUGUGGAAU